rnacentral:rRNA from 1 species
AGUGAACGCUGGCGGUAGGCCUAACACAUGCAAGUCGAACGGCAGCACAGUAAGAGCUUGCUCUUACGGGUGGCGAGUGGCGGACGGGUGAGGAAUACAUCGGAAUCUACUUUUUCGUGGGGGAUAACGUAGGGAAACUUACGCUAAUACCGCAUACGACCUACGGGUGAAAGCAGGGGAUCUUCGGACCUUGCGCUAUUGAAUGAGCCGAUGUCGGAUUAGCUAGUUGGCGGGGUAAAGGCCCACCAAGGCGACGAUCCGUAGCUGGUCUGAGAGGAUGAUCAGCCACACUGGAACUGAGACACGGUCCAGACUCCUACGGGAGGCAGCAGUGGGGAAUAUUGGACAAUGGGCGCAAGCCUGAUCCAGCCAUACCGCGUGAGUGAAGAAGGCCUUCGGGUUGUAAAGCCCUUUUGUUGGGAAAGAAAAGCAGCAGGUUAAUACCCCGCUGUUCUGACGGUACCCAAAGAAUAAGCACCGGCUAACUUCGUG